GAUGAACGCUGGCGGCGUGCCUAAUACAUGCAAGUCGAGCGAACAGACGAGGAGCUUGCUCCUCUGACGUUAGCGGCGGACGGGUGAGUAACACGUGGAUAACCUACCUAUAAGACUGGGAUAACUUCGGGAAACCGGAGCUAAUACCGGAUAAUAUAUUGAACCGCAUGGUUCAAUAGUGAAAGACGGUUUUGCUGUCACUUAUAGAUGGAUCCGCGCCGCAUUAGCUAGUUGGUAAGGUAACGGCUUACCAAGGCAACGAUGCGUAGCCGACCUGAGAGGGUGAUCGGCCACACUGGAACUGAGCCGCGGUCCAGACUCCUACGGGAGGCAGCAGUAGGGAAUCUUCCGCAAUGGGCGAAAGCCUGACGGAGCAACGCCGCGUGAGUGAUGAAGGUUUUCGGAUCGUAAAACUCUGUUAUUAGGGAAGAACAAAUGUGUAAGUAACUAUGCACGUCUUGACGGUACCUAAUCAGAAAGCCACGGCUAACUACGUG
rnacentral:rRNA from 1 species